AUUGAACGCUGGCGGCAGGCCUAACACAUGCAAGUCGAGCGGGGUUUUCGGACCUAGCGGCGGACGGGUGAGUAAUGCGUAGGAAUCUGCCUGAUAGUGGGGGACAACGUUUCGAAAGGAACGCUAAUACCGCAUACGUCCUACGGGAGAAAGCAGGGGACCUUCGGGCCUUGCGCUAUCAGAUGAGCCUAGGUCGGAUUAGCUAGUUGGUGAGGUAAUGGCUCACCAAGGCGGCGAUCCGUAACUGGUCUGAGAGGAUGAUCAGUCACACUGGGACUGAGAAACGGUCCAGACUCCUACGGGAGGCAGCAGUGGGGAAUAUUGGACAAUGGGCGAAAGCCUGAUCCAGCCAUGCCGCAUGUGUGAAGAAGGUCUUCGGAUUGUGAAGCACUUUAAGUUGGGAGGAAGGGCAGUAAGCUAAUACCUUGCUGUUUUGACGUUAUCGACAGAAUAAGCACCGGCUAACUCUGUGCCAGCAGCCGCGGUAACAC
rnacentral:rRNA from 1 species